AAAUAGGUCAAACGAUUUAAUUCCCGUAAUCAACCACACACCCUAUGAUUCUCCACCGUUAAGUUUUGGUGAAACUUUUGAGGCAAUAGCAAAUCUAUUAAUGGAACACAACAUUGGUUCAGAAAAAUGUGUAGGUGAAUUCAAUAUUUCAAUCUAAUUUGCUAUAAAAUACAUGUUCUUCAACAUACUUUUGGUAGUCAUUAAAAAUGAUUGUAAGAAGUAUUUGAUUUUCGAAAUAAAAAUUGCCAAUAACCGAACAACUUGAAAUCCAAUAGUUUUUAUUGAGUUUUUCUCAAAAUGAUAAAAUUAUAUUAGCAUGGUGUCCAUGUAUUGGUUAAUUUAGAUUCUGAGUAGAGCGAGGAAUGUAAUAGAUGUUAAUUAUUUUUAAAUUCUAUGUGCAACGAGUUAUGUUUUGGUUUUACAAUGAGGGUUAUUUUAUGUUAAAUGUGCUGGUUACACAUUCAACUGAACUACGCUCAGUAUCGUUGUGUCGUUAUCAAUUCUUUGUCAUUUCUUAUAGAUACACAUUCCUCUCUGUAUCCUACCUUCCAAACUUCCCAUCUACAACAAUGUCUGCAUCUACGUGCGAAGUAUGUCCGUCCUUUUGAUUAUUAUUAAUACUAUUACUUUUGUUUUUUGUGGCAUUAAAUAAUUUUUUAUCAGAAGUUAUUCUCAUAUGCAAUAACGAUAAAAUACAUUUAUAAUUGAGUAAUUGAAUAAUUUUAUCUUUUUCAAAUAACGUGUAUAAGCGGUUUUCACUCAAAAUCGUUUUUUGUUUAACAAUGUUUUACCGUUUCGAACAGAUAUAAAUUCCUAAAGUUUGUUUCGGAUUCAAAUUGAAAAUUGUAUGUUCGGUUAGGCUUUAGAAAUCAUUGUUUGUAAUAUAAUAGUUAGUAAUGUAGUAUAAUAACAUAUUAGAUGUGAUCAUUAUAGUUAGAGACAUGGGUUAAAACGAAAAGAUACGGUGAAAUACGUUUAAAAAAGAUAGAAAAAUGAAUGUUUUCGUUUAACACUAACACGGGCAAAGCCGUGCGGGAUAAUCGUCCCAACCGUGAAGGAAGCAUAGGGGAUGAUUUGAGUAAUAAAAUGCGAUAUACUUCGCGUUACUUCUACCCAAGAGGCACUGAUUUGUAGCGAAAUAGGAGUAUUACACAGACACUGAACUGUAUGGACAUGUAUACUUUAUUCUGGUGAAGUCAUGGAAAAAGUCAUGGUAAUACAAAUAC